CUACGGGGGGCAGCAGUGGGGAAUAUUGCACAAUGGGCGCAAGCCUGAUGCAGCCAUGCCGCGUGUAUGAAGAAGGCCUUCGGGUUGUAAAGUACUUUCAGCGGGGAGGAAGGGAGUAAAGUUAAUACCUUUGCUCAUUGACGUUACCCGCAGAAGAAGCACCGGCUAACUCCGUGCCAGCAGCCGCGGUAAUACGGAGGGUGCAAGCGUUAAUCGGAAUUACUGGGCGUAAAGCGCACGCAGGCGGUUUGUUAAGUAAGAUGUGAAAUCCCCGGGCUCAACCUGGGAACUGCAUCUGAUACUGGCAAGCUUGAGUCUCGUAGAGGGGGGUAGAAUGCCAGGUGUAGCGGUGAAAUGCGUAGAGAUCUGGAGGAAUACCGGUGGCGAAGGCGGCCCCCUGGACGAAGACUGACGCUCAGGUGCGAAAGCGUGGGGAGCAAACAGGAUUAGAUACCCCAGUAGUC
rnacentral:rRNA from 1 species